GUUUCCGUAGUGUAGUGGUUAUCACGUGCGCCUCACACGCGCAAGGUCCCCGGUUCGAUCCCGGGUGGAAACA